rnacentral:rRNA from 1 species
CUAGGAAUUUUGCGCAAUGGGGGAAACCCUGACGCAGCAACGCCGCGUGAAUGAUGAAGGCCUUCGGGUUGUAAAGUUCUUUUAGCAGGGACGAAAAAAAUGACUGUACCUGCAGAAAAAGCACCGGCAAACUUCGUGCCAGCAGCCGCGGUAAUACGAAGGGUGCAAGCGUUACUCGGAAUCACUGGGCUUAAAGCGUUUGUAGGUCGUUUGGUAAGUUUGAUGUGAAAGCCCACCGCUCAAAGGUGGAAGUGCAUUGAAUACUGCCUGACUAGAGUAUAGGAGAGGUGGACGGAAUUCCUGGUGUAGAGGUGAAAUUCGUAGAUAUCAGGAGGAACAACGGAGGCGAAGGCGGUCCACUGGACUAUAACUGACACUGAAAAACGAAAGUGUGGGGAGCAAACA